GAGGAAUAUUGGUCAAUGGGCGCAAGCCUGAACCAGCCAUCCCGCGUGAAGGAAGAAGGCGCUAUGCGUUGUAAACUUCUUUUCCAGGGGGAGAAUUUUUCCGUCGUGACGGGAAUUGACGGUACUCUGGGAAUAAGCACCGGCUAACUCCGUGCCAGCAGCCGCGGUAAUACGGAGGGUGCAAGCGUUAUCCGGAUUUAUUGGGUUUAAAGGGUCCGUAGGCGGACUUAUAAGUCAGUGGUGAAAGCCUGUCGCUUAACGAUAGAACUGCCAUUGAUACUGUAAGUCUUGAGUAUAUUUGAGGUAGCUGGAAUAAGUAGUGUAGCGGUGAAAUGCAUAGAUAUUACUUAGAACAUCAAUUGCGAAGGCAGGUUAGCAAGAUAUAACUGACUCUGGGGUACGAAAGCGUGGUGAGCGAACA
rnacentral:rRNA from 1 species